rnacentral:rRNA from 1 species
GAUGAACGCUGGCGGCGUGCCUAAUACAUGCAAGUCGAGCGAAUGGAUUGAGAGCUUGCUCUUAUGAAGUUAGCGGCGGACGGGUGAGUAACACGUGGGUAACCUGCCCAUAAGACUGGGAUAACUCCGGGAAACCGGGGCUAAUACCGGAUAACAUUUUGAACCGCAUGGUUCGAAAUUGAAAGGCGGCUUCGGCUGUCACUUAUGGAUGGACCCGCGUCGCAUUAGCUAGUUGGUGAGGUAACGGCUCACCAAGGCAACGAUGCGUAGCCGACCUGAGAGGGUGAUCGGCCACACGGGGACUGAGACACGGCACAGACUCCUACGGGAGGCAGCAGUAGGGAAUCUUCCGCAAUGGACGAAAGUCUGACGGAGCAACGCCGCGUGAGUGAUGAAGGCUUUCUGGUCGUAAAACUCUGUUGUUAGGGAAGAACAAGUGCUAGUUGAAUAAGCUGGCACCUUGACGGUACCUAACCAGAAAGCCACGGCUAACUACGUGCCAGCAGCCGCCGUAA